rnacentral:rRNA from 1 species
ACUCCCAAACCCCUGUGAACAUACCUUAUGUUGCCUCGGCGGAUCAGCCCGCGCCCCGUAAAAAGGGACGGCCCGCCGCAGGAACCCUAAACUCUGUUUUUAGUGGAACUUCUGAGUAUAAAAAACAAAUAAAUCAAAACUUUCAACAACGGAUCUCUUGGUUCUGGCAUCGAUGAAGAACGCAGCAAAAUGCGAUAAGUAAUGUGAAUUGCAGAAUUCAGUGAAUCAUCGAAUCUUUGAACGCACAUUGCGCCCGCCAGUAUUCUGGCGGGCAUGCCUGUUCGAGCGUCAUUUCAACCCUCAAGCCCAGCUUGGUGUUGGGAGCUGCAGUCCUGCUGCACUCCCCAAAUACAUUGGCGGNCACGUCGAGCUUCCAUAGCGUAGUAAUUUACACAUCGUUACUGGUAAUCGUCGCGGCCACGCCGUUAAACCCCAACUUCUGAAUGUUGACCUCGGAUCAGGUAGGAAUACCCGCUGAACUUAAGCAUAUCAAUAA